CAAAGAGUAGUUUAAGUUAAAAUGCUGGCUUUGGGGGCUAGGGAUGGAAGUUCUCUCUUUGA
rnacentral:tRNA from 1 species